ACUUGUACUAUAAAUUGUAGGAUGUAUGAUUGUAGUGGUACUCACUAGGCAUAGGUCGAUUGAGGUCCAACAAUAAAGACAUCAUAAAUAGGAAGUAUAUAAGGAAAGUAUAACACAAAAAACUAAGGAAAAGACAUUAUAUAGUUUAAUAUGAACAACACUAUAAAGGAAUAGAAUACAAUGAAAAAGAGACCGAGUAUAAGUACCUGACCUGGUCAUUAUAAUAAGCAAAUAGUUAAUCAAUUUGGGUCAGAAAACCUUUCGGGUAGUGACUUAAAUUUUGUUUGCUAGGCUAGCCUCAGAUGGAAACUGUGUUGGGUGACAUCUAGGAAUUUCUGGGAAUGUGUAGUGUGUGAAAUUGAGGUUUGCUUGAUACUUUAUUAUAUCAAAGACAUUAAGGAGUCAGUAGAAAUUUUCAAAAUUGAAUUCAGAUAAGUAUAACUUCCAAAAUUUAUUUUGGCGUGGACUAUGUAGGAACAUCAAGGGAAGAAGUUGUGUUUUGAUGAAUGUCAUUUUCUCAAAUUUUGAGGCUAUGAAAUUUCAUCAAGACCAUUGUAGCAGGAGGCAUUAAUCUACAGUGAUGCUAAGACCACUUUAGUGGGUAAGUAUUGUUAUAGUGGCGUCGCUAGAGUAGGUUGGGCCACUAUAGUAGAGAGAGAAACAAGAUUUAUAUGGAAACAACCCAAAAGCCCCUAUUUUCUACACUUCAUAUUCUUGGACUUGGGAGGGGCAAUUUCGGACGGUCUUCACUAUUUUUCCAUGAGAUUCUUCGUUAAAGAUGCUAUUAAACAAGGAACUGAAGAAGCCAAGAGAAAUGGCAGCUGCAGCUAAGGAGGAAGAGAAGAAGACGUAUAACUCGACUAUUGAGUUUGACACACCUUUAAGUUUCUCUUAUGAGUUCUGAAUGUUCAGCUGCUAUGUUGCUUCAUUUCUAGGUUUGGUCCUUUUAUGAUUUUAGAUAUUGUUGGUUUUUUCUAAUAUUUUAUAGAUUGCUCAAAUCCUCAAAGAUCGACCUUUUUGGUUUUGGGACUGCCAGAAUAUUGAAAUUUUCGUUAUGUGUUCUGCAUGAAAUAGUGUUCUUGAGCUUUUGUAUACACAGGUGAGUACCUUCUCUUUAAUCUUUAUGUAGGCAAGCUUCUUAUUGGAUUAGCUUCAGCAUUGAGGGGAUCAACUAAAUCAUUUCUUUCAGAUAUAUGUUCCUAUCAUUCUGGCUCAUGCAAGUGAUUUUUGGACGUUGAGAUACACAACCACCCUAGACAAUGGUAGCAUUUAUGGUUAGUCAAAGAUUCCUAUCUGUUACCGGGCUUGGACCAAAUCCUGUUGCUGCUUCCCAGAUUGUUAGAGCUCAAAUGGUUUCAUCUAGAUAUCUGAUCCAGUCCUGUGACAAUGGAAGAUCAAUCAUAUAUAUUGUUGACCACCUGAAUCUUGAGCCAUCUGAUGUAGCUAUUGAAUCAUUUUCCUUCAAGCACGCAAGAUCAUCCGGGUGAUAAUUGUUGUAGUGGCAACCAUUAGUGUCUUGUAAUAGUACUAUAAAUUGUAUGAUCGAUCGGAUCAUAAUGAUUAGAGUGAAUGAUGUAUUUAGAAAUUAAUUGCAGUAGUAAGGAUAACAUUAGUGUACUCAUGGUGGAGUUGAAUGCAUUUGUAUGGC